rnacentral:tRNA from 1 species
CGGGCAGUAGCGCAGCUUGGUAGCGCACUUGGUUUGGGACCAAGAAGUCGCCGGUUCAAAUCCGGCCUGCCCGACCA